AGUAAUACAUCGGAACGUGCCUAGUGGGGGAUAACUAGUCGAGACUAGCAUACCACGACCUGGGUGAAAGUGGGGGACCGCAACCUCAUGCUAUAGGAGCGGCCGAUGUCUGAUUAGCUAGUUGGUGGGGUAAAGGCCCACCAAGGCGACGAUCAGUAGCUGGUCUGAGAGGACGAUCAGACACUGGACUGAGACACGGCCCAGACUCCUACGGGAGGCUGGAAUUUUGGACAAGGGGCAACCCUGAUCCAGCAAUGCCGCGUGUGUGAAGAAGGCCUUCGGGUUGUAAAGCACUUUUGUCCGGAAAGAAAUCGCACUGGUUAAUAUGGUGUGGAUGACGGUACCGGAAGAAUAAGGACCGGCUAACUACGUGCCAGCAGCCGCGGUAAUACGUAGGGUCCAAGCGUUAAUCGGAAUUACUGGGCGUAAAGCGUGCGCAGGCGGUUGUGCAAGACCGAUGUGAAAUCCCCGGGAACCUGGGAAUUGCAUUGGUGACUGCACGGCUAGAGUGUGUCAGAGGGAGGUAGAAUUCCACGUGUAGCAGGAAAUGCGUAGAGAUGUGGAGGAGAUGGCGAAGGCAGCCUCCUGGGAUAACACUGACGCUCAUGCACGAAAGCGUGGGGAGCAAACAGGAUUAGAUACCCUGGUAGUCCACGCCCUAAACGAUGUCAACUAGUUGUUGGGGAUUCAUUUCCUUAGUAACGUAGCUAACGUGGACCGCCUGGAGUACGGGCAAGAUUAAAACUCAAAGGGACGGGGACCCGCACAAGCGGUGGAUGAUGUGGAUUAAUUCGAGCACGCGAAAAACCUUACCUAC
rnacentral:rRNA from 1 species